CGAUUAAUUCUUUCAAAUAUUUUUCCUCUCAGAAGACGCCCUGAGCCGAGGUUCGCGCCCAACUGGGCACCCUCAGGCCUGUUGUCUUAAACGUUGUACCGGGUGAGAGCCUUCAGCGCUCCCCAUUUGUCCGGCCAAGUAGUUAAUGCCAUCUGCGGCAAAUCUACAAUAAGUCACGUCAAAAAAAAAAAAAAAAGC